CUAUGGGGCGCAGCAGGCGAGAAAACUUUGCAAUGUGCGAAAGCACGACAAGGUUAAUCCGAGUGGUUUGUGCUAAACGAACCUUUUGACAGUCCUAGAAACACUGUUGAAUAAGGGGUGGGCAAGUUCUGGUGUCAGCCGCCGCGGUAAAACCAGCACCUCAAGUGGUCAGGAUGAUUAUUGGGCCUAAAGCAUCCGUAGCCGGCUCUGUAAGUUUUCGGUUAAAUCUGUACGCUCAACGUACAGGCUGCCGGGAAUACUGCAGAGCUAGGGAGUGGGAGAGGUAGACGGUACUCGGUAGGAAGGGGUAAAAUCCUUUGAUCUAUUGAUGACCACCUGUGGCGAAGGCGGUCUACCAGAACACGUCCGACGGUGAGGGAUGAAAGCUGGGGGAGCAAACCGGAUUAGAUACCCCAGUAGUC
rnacentral:rRNA from 1 species